rnacentral:rRNA from 1 species
AAUCAACGCUGGCGGCGUGCUUCAGACAUGCAAGUCGAACGCGAAAGUUUCCUUCGGGAAGCGAGUAGAGUGGCGCACGAGUGAGUAACACGUAAGUAAUCUACCUUUGGGUGGGGAAUAACUCAGGGAAACUUGAGCUAAUACCGCAUAAUGCAGCGGCUCCUUAUGGAGACAGUUGUUAAAGAAUUUAUUCGCCUAAA